GUMSCGGUGCGAGCGUUAAUCGGAAUUACUGGGCGUAAAGCGUGCGCAGGCGGUUUUAUAAGCCAGAUGUGAAAGCCCCGGGCUCAACCUGGGAAUGGCAUUUGGGACUGUAAGGCUGGAGUAUGGCAGAGGAGACUAGAAUUCCUGGUGUAGCAGUGAAAUGCGUAGAUAUCAGGAGGAAUACCGAUGGCGAAGGCAGGUCUCUGGGCCAAUACUGACGCUCAUGCACGAAAGCGUGGGGAGCAAACAGGAUUAGAUACCCUGGUAGUCCACGCCCUAAACGAUGUCAACUGGUUGUUGGGGGAUUUAUUCUCUUAKUAACGAAGCUAACGCGUGAAGUUGACCGCCUGGGGAGUACGGUCGCAAGAUUA
rnacentral:rRNA from 1 species